UGAGCCCUUUUUCAUUUCCCGUUUAAUGUAAUUUUUUUACCGUUGUGUUCACCGUUCUAUUUUUUACAGAUUGACUGAAGAACAACUCUCAUUCGCGAAGGUGAACCGGCGAAGCAGCCGCACCCAAAAAACCCCACUACUGGUAGUUCUUCGUUUUCUGAUUUUUUCGGCCAACUGAGGCCCCCUAACGUGUUUUUUCGCAUGGUACGUAUAAAGCCAGCCAAAG
rnacentral:lncRNA from 1 species